GACGAACGCUGGCGGCGUGCUUAACACAUGCAAGUCGAACGGAAAGGCCCUGCUUUUGUGGGGUGCUCGAGUGGCGAACGGGUGAGUAACACGUGAGUAACCUGCCCUUGACUUUGGGAUAACUUCAGGAAACUGGGGCUAAUACCGGAUAGGAGCUCCUGCUGCAUGGUGGGGGUUGGAAAGUUUCGGCGGUUGGGGAUGGACUCGCGGCUUAUCAGCUUGUUGGUGGGGUAGUGGCUUACCAAGGCUUUGGCGGGUAGCCGGCCUGAGAGGGUGACCGGCCACAUUGGGACUGAGAUACGGCCCAGACUCCUACGGGAGGCAGCAGUGGGGAAUAUUGCACAAUGGGCGGAAGCCUGAUGCAGCAACGCCGCGUGCGGGAUGACGGCCUUCGGGUUGUAAACCGCUUUCGCCUGUGACGAAGCGUGAGUGACGGGAAUGGGUAAAGAAGCACCGGCUAACUACGU
rnacentral:rRNA from 1 species